GCGCUUGUGGCGGAAUUUCGGUAUACGCGCUGGUUUCAGGUACCAGUGUCUUGACGGACAUGAGGGUUCGAGUCCCUCCAAGCGCA
rnacentral:tRNA from 1 species